rnacentral:lncRNA from 1 species
CUACUUUCCUUUUAAAACUGUAUCAUCUUCUGUUCAUCCUACUCCCUCUUCCUUUCCUUUUGUUCCUCCUCUUGAGCAUUCCUCCUCUGAUACAGACUUGUCUAUACCUGUAUGUUCCUCUCCUCCUCCUCCUUCUGCCCCAGCUUCCACCUCUUCUAAUCCAGUUUCCAUUAAUGUCUAUACCUGCCUGUUCCUCUCCUCCUCCUCCUUCUGCCCCAGCUUCCCCUUCUUCUAAUCCAGUUUCCAUUCAUCCCUUCAAUCCUUAUAUUUCUCCUCCUGAUUUGCCUCCUUCCACAUCUCUUCC